GGGUGCAAAGAGGAUCUAAAGCAGGCCCAAGCCAAGAGGUCCAAACAAAGUCCAAGGUGUUCAAUGUACCUCCCAGUCAACAGGUUGACUAUGAGAGGCUCAUGUGACCGUCAGAUCCUGUGAUCUGACCUGGUCAACACGGAUGGGCAAACGAAAGCAUAAGGACAUGGUAAGGAUAUAGGGAUAACACACGGGAUCUAAUGGAGAGGGUCCCAUGACUAGUGACAAGUGUCCACAUGGAGACACAUGUUACCACUGUACUUUGCCCAUAAUCAUGGCUUAAAAACUCCCACCCUCAAAAGAUUAACCUCAUUUCCCCAAAAUCUUUCCUUCUCUUCACUUCUAACCAACAAAAAUGCUUUGCAACUUCGUCCUCCUUCUCCGAUGCACCUUCUCCAGAGAAGACGGUGGUUGUAGGCAAAGGGUGGCGGCGCCACCUUCUUCUCCGACGAACCACCACCCUAAAACCUAAAACACUAACCCCCCCCCCCCCCCCUCAUUUCUUCUCUAUUAUCCAAGUAUGGCCUUGUUUUCACCUAAAUCCUCUUUAGACGGCCGAAUCGAACCCUAACAGAGCCCAAAUUACUAAGUCACGAAAACCUAACCUCACAAAACAAAACCUAGCUCAAAUAUUCCUCUAAACACAAACCAAAACCAAAUUUACAACAUUCAAAAGUCAAAAAGAUGAAACCCUAAUUUUGAAAUGAAACCCUAAACAACAAGAAUUUCAAGAAAUUGACAUGGGGGUUCCACAUAAAUUAACACAGGGAAGACGAUGGUCUUAAGAAAACAGAGAAAAGAAUAAAGACUCGCCAAAUCGGAGCUAGUUUGAUGAACUCUUCGACGAAAUAAGUAAGUUGUUUCUCUGUCUCUCUUUUUGUGUUGUCCAAUGUCUUCCUGCUUCCUCUCUUUCUUCUGAACUUGGUGUAUAUUUGAUAUUAUGUAUAAUUUAGGUAUAGCUCUUCUGACUCUGAAAUUUAGAGUAGAAUAAACGUGUAAAUUGAGCUUUAAUGGUGUGUGGUGAGAGGGCGUUUUAGCGGCAUAACAGUAGCUUUUUGUGAAUGGAACAGUGCGCUCAAUUUAUAGAAAAUAAAUAGGGAGUGAGAGAAUGCAAAUACGUGUGAGUUUCUGUGAAUAUCUUGUUUGCUCAUGUGAAUUUUUGAUAAUUCGGUGAAUUGGGAUAAAUUUUUAUAGGAACUUUUUGAAAUCCUUGAUUUUGCGGGCUUGCUUUUGUGAGUGGCCAAUGAGAAAAAGUGUUUUCCCUUCCACAUAUACUAUGUUUCUUCUGCUUUUUUUAUGUAUUCUCUUUUUGUUUUUAUCUGUGCAUAAUAUCAUUUUUUGUGAUCACAACAGUCCCACCAAUUUGGGAUGUACGUAUAGUUAUGGCAUGAGUACAUGGAUGUUAGUCCUGAUUUUAAAUGAAUAUGUAUGUUGAAUGAAUUGAUUGAAAGGUUUAUGCAUAUGCUCAUCGUGAGGUAUGUAAUGUUGUAUUCUUAUGUAUGUGUGUGUGAUGAGUUGAAAACAUGGUCCCUCAACUAUUCUAUCUGACUUUGCUCUAAUUGAUUUUAAUGUACGCAAGGUCAUUAGGGACAAUGGGCCUCUAAUGACCUCUAUUGGCCUUUUGCGAUGUGCUAGUGAUGCAGUUUUGAAUACCAUGAGCACAUGAUGAUAUGCUUUGUGUUUCUGCUAUUUGAGUUUUUCUCUUUUGUGCAACGGGAUUUUUGGUGAUUGAUCAUGACAUGGAAAUGGUUGACUCGAAGAUGAAGAAAGAACGAGGUUUUAGGCAUGGUGAGCGGGGAUUGAAUGAAAUUAUUAUUGGACACUAGCAGUUUAAGUUUUAUAGUUCUUAGGUUUUAGUAUUUUUAUUUUUAGCAAAGUUUCAAAAUAUAAAAACCAAGAGGUGACUUGAAAUGUAAAUGAAUUUCUAAACUUUUACUUCUAAUGCAAAUGCAAAUUUGACAAUGUAAAAAUCCAAACGCAACUUUUUUUUAUGCUUUUGUAUGCUAAAUGCUAUGUUCAAGUGCUAAAGUAUAAAC
rnacentral:lncRNA from 1 species